rnacentral:lncRNA from 1 species
ACACAUGCCGCUGGCCUCGGGUCAUCUCCCUGAGAAAAUUGCACAACCACACUUUUGUCCCUAGGGACUGCCGGGUUAGGUCGGAACUGGCUCUGCUUCCACUCGUGGGCUUUGCCUCUGCGUGGAGCCAAGGUCGAAGAGGGUCCCCGCAUCCUUCUGCAAGGCAGACUCGGACAGACAGAUGGACACGCAGGAGCGAGGACGCCCUGAGCCCGCCCCUUAGUGUUCCUUUAAUCCGGGCAAGGGAAACUGGAAUCGCCGGCACCGCUGGCUGGCAAAGGAGCAGUGCUUGAGCCCCAACCAUGGCAAAGUUGCUCAGAGGGCUCCAGUGAAUGGCGGACGGCAGAUGAGCGCCAUUCCCACUGGAUUCUAGAUGAACAGAGCAGAAUCUACUAGCUGUGGGGGCUGAAGCAGAAGUGCCAUGAAUUUCACCAGCUGGGACUACACAGUGAGAACCUGGUUUCGUUUGUUUUCUGUUUGUUUACAAACAAACAAAAACAACAGAAGAGGAAACACACCAACAACAGAGUCCGCUGAACUCUAUUCUAAUGUCUCACCGUGUAUCCCUGGCUGGAUACUUGCUAUGGACUACAGUGGCUUCAAACUCACAGGAAUCCUCAUGCCUCUGUCUCUGCAGUACUGGGAUUAAAGGCAUGCAACACCACACCCUGCCAAGACAGCUAUAUUUUCAGAUUGCUCCAGUGUUUAUUCCUUACUGUGAUCUCCAAAUACUCGGGGUAUGUCUGAAGUCUUGAAGAUCAGACGUCUUCAUCCGGUAAGCAUUAGGAAAGAGAUUGGUGUUUAACAGAAUAGAGCAGAAUGUAACAAAUUAAGCAGCACCAUCUACGGUCCAGGCUUUUUUACCGUUGUCCUGUUUGUGGACCUCUGGGGUGUUGAGCAUGCUGCGUGUUGGGCGAAAUGGGAACUGCACUGGCGGAAGUGGAUGCCUCUGACACUGCUAAUUAAGGAAUGUGGAACCCUUCCUUUCUGAGUCAGCACCGAG